UUGGGUGUCAACCCGCACGCGUAAUGAAAGUGAACGUAGGUGAGAGCUUCGGCGCAUCAUCGACCGAUCCUGAUGUAUUCGGAUGGAUUUGAGUAGGAGCGUUAAGCCUUGGACCCGAAAGAUGGUGAACUAUGCUUGGAUAGGGUGAAGCCAGAGGAAACUCUGGUGGAGGCUCGCAGCGGUUCUGACGUGCAAAUCGAUCGUCAAAUCUGAGCAUGGGGGCGAAAGACUAAUCGAACCAUCUAGUAGCUGGUUACCGCCGAAGUUUCCCUCAGGAUAGCAGUGUUGUUCUCAGUUUUAUGAGGUAAAGCGAAUGAUUAGGGACUCGGGGGCGCUUUUUAGCCUUCAUCCAUUCUCAAACUUUAAAUAUGUAAGAAGCCCUUGUUACUUAAUUGAACGUGGGCAUUCGAAUGUACCAACACUAGUGGGCCAUUUUUGGUAAGCAGAACUGGCGAUGCGGGAUGAACCGAACGCGAGGUUAAGGUGCCGGAGUGGACGCUCAUCAGACACCACAAAAGGCGUUAGUACAUCUUGACAGCAGGACGGUGGCCAUGGAAGUCGGAAUCCGCUAAGGACUGUGUAACAACUCACCUGCCGAAUGUACUAGCCCUGAAAAUGGAUGGCGCUCAAGCGUCCCACCCAUACCUCGCCCUCAGGGUAGAAACGAUGCCCUGAGGAGUAGGCGGCCGUGGAGGUCAGUGACGAAGCCUAGGGCGUGAGCCC
rnacentral:rRNA from 1 species